GUGGGGAAUAUUGGACAAUGGGCGAAAGCCUGAUCCAGCCAUGCCGCGUGUGUGAAGAAGGUCUUCGGAUUGUAAAGCACUUUAAGUUGGGAGGAAGGGCAGUAAGUUAAUACCUUGCUGUUUUGACGUUACCGACAGAAUAAGCACCGGCUAACUUCGUGCCAGCAGCCGCGGUAUUACGAAGGGUGCAAGCGUUAAUCGGAAUUACUGGGCGUAAAGCGCGCGUAGGUGGUUUUGUAAGUUGGAGGUGAAAUCCCCGGGCUCAACCUGGGAACUGCAUCCAAAACUGCAUGACUAGAGUACGGUAGAGGGUAGUGGAAUUUCCUGUGUAGCGGUGAAAUGCGUAGAUAUAGGAAGGAACACCAGUGGCGAAGGCGACUACCUGGACUGAUACUGACACUGAGGUGCGAAAGCGUGGGGAGCAAACAGGAUUAGAAACCCGAGUAGUCC
rnacentral:rRNA from 1 species